rnacentral:rRNA from 1 species
UAUUGCACAAUGGGGGGAACCCUGAUGCAGCGACGCCGCGUGAGUGAAGACGGCCUUCGGGUUGUACAGCUCUGUCAAUCGGGACGAAGAAGAUGACGGUACCGAUGAAGGAAGCUCCGGCUAACUACGUGCCAGCAGCCGCGGUAAUACGUAGGGAGCAAGCGUUGUCCGGAAUUACUGGGUGUAAAGGGAGCGUAGGCGGGAAUGCAAGUUGGAAGUGAAAGGUAUGGGCUCAACCCAUGAACUGCUUUCAAAACUGUAUUUCUUGAGUGAAGUAGAGGCAGGCGGAAUUCCUAGUGUAGCGGUGAAAUGCGUAGAUAUUAGGAGGAACACCAGUGGCGAAGGCGGCCUGCUGGGCUUUAACUGACGCUGAGGCUCGAAAGCGUGGGUAGCAAACAGG